rnacentral:rRNA from 1 species
CGGGAAUUCCAGCUCCACUAGUAUAAAUCGUCAUUGCUGCGGUUAAAAAGCUCGUAGUUGGAUUUGAGGCACGUACAGCGGUUCGGCUCUGCCGUUAAUCGCUGUUGUGUCUAAUUUGUUGGUUUUCUGUUGGUAACUUCGGUUCCUUCAGUGGCUGGCAAGUUUACCUUGAUCAAAUCAAAGCGCUCAAAGCAGGCGAUUGCUUGCAUUUGGGAUCAUGGAAUAAUAAAAUAGGAUUUCGAUUCUAUUUAUUGGUUUAGAAUUGAAUUAAUGAUUAAGAGAGACAAUUCGGGGGCAUUCGUAUCCCUGCGCGAGAGGUGAAAUUCGUGGACCGCAGGGGGACGUCCAAAAGCGAAAGCAUUUGCCAAGAAUGUCUUCAUUAAUCAAGAACGAAAGUCAGAGGUUCGAAGGCGAUUAGGUACCGCCCUAAGUUCUUGACCGUAAACUAUGCCAUCUAGCGGAUCCGAUAAGGGUAUUCAUGCCUUGUCCGGGGAGCUUCCCCGGAAACGAAAAGUUUUUCCGGUUCCGGGGGGUAAGUAUGGUUGCAAAGCUUGAAACUUUAAAGAAAUUUGACCGGAAGGGCACCACCAGGGAGUGGAGCCUGCGGCUUAAUUUGACUCAACACGGGAAAACUCACCCCGG